rnacentral:rRNA from 1 species
GAUGAACGCUAGCUACAGGCUUAACACAUGCAAGUCGAGGGACCGGCGCACGGGUGAGUAACACGUAUCCCACCUGCCCUUUACUCGGUGAUAGCCUUUCGAAAGAAAGAUUAAUACCCGAUAUAAAGGAUGGGGAUGCGUUCCAUUAGGUUGUUGGUGAGGUAACGGCUCACCAAGCCUUCGAUGGCGAGGGGUUCUGAGAGGAAGGUCCACCACAUUGGAACUGAGGCACGGUCCAAGCUCCUACGGGAGGAAGAAGAGAGGAAUAUUGGUGAAUGGGCGCUAGCCUGAACCAGCCAAGUAGCGGGAAGGAUGAAGGCUUAUGGGUCGUAAACUUCUUUUAUAUAAGAAGAUGUAUUAUAUGAAUAAGGAUCGGCUAACUCCGUGCCAGCAGCCGCGGUAAUAC